UACGAACUGUGCGAACGUUAUUCGGAAUCACUGGGCUUAAAGGGUGCGUAGGCGGCUGCCUAAGUUCAGGUGUGAAAUCUCCCGGCUCAACCGGGAAACUGCGCUUGAUACUGGGCGGCUCGAGUGAGGUAGGGGUGUGUGGAACUUCCGGUGGAGCGGUGAAAUGUGUAGAUAUCGGAAGGAACGCCAGCAGCGAAAGCGGCACACUGGGCCUUUUCUGACGCUGAGGCACGAAAGCCAGGGGAGCGAACGGG
rnacentral:rRNA from 1 species